GAGUUUGAUCCUGGCUCAGAACGAACGCUGGCGGCGUGCUUAACACAUGCAAGUCGAACGUGAUUGGAAGCUUGCUUCCAUGAAAGUGGCGCACGGGUGAGUAACGCGUGGAUAACCUGCCCUGGUAUCCGGAAUAACAUCUCGAAAGGGGUGCUAAUACCGGAUAAGCCUACGGAGCCCUCGGUCUMUGCAGGAAAAGGUGGCCUCUAUUUAUAAGCUACCGUAUCAGGAUGGGUCCGCGUACCAUUAGCUAGUUGGUGGGGUAAUGGCCUACCAAGGCGACGAUGGCUAGGGGGUCUGAGAGGAUGGUCCCCCACACUGGUACUGAGACACGGACCAGACUCCUWCGGGAGGCAGCAGUGAGGAAUAUUGGUCAAUGGGCGGAAGCCUGAACCAGCCAUGCCGCGUGCAGGAAGACGGCCCUAUGGGUUGUAAACUGCUUUUAUAUGGGAGCAAUAAGACCUACGUGUAGGUUGAUGAGAGUACCAUAUGAAUAAGCACCGGCUAACUCCGUGCCAGCAGCCGCGGUAAUAC
rnacentral:rRNA from 1 species